AACACCAUGUAAUGGAUAAAUAUGCUGAACAAAUAAUGUAGCCAAAGUGUGAGCGGAGGGAAUUUUUUUGGGCAGUGAACAAAAUGUACCUGUUUGGAAAACAAGUCAGUUAUUACCCAAAUUACUGUGUUCCCUGAACUUUCACGCAGUUCCAUUGAUAUCUGUUUUCAUGGACCUUUUGGUUCUGCUACGGAUUGGAGGAGAUCUGGUGUCUUCCCUUGUCUCCAUUUAGCAGAGGCACAGCCUCCAGCUUGCUUACCUUUGCUCUUUGGACCAAAUCCUGAGCUGCUGGUCACAGAACGCCUGCCUUGCUGUUCGCCUGCUGCUUCUGAAAUCCCUCGGCUGCAUCCUGCAAUCCAUCUCAUCGGCUAGCAACUGAAUCUCCCUCCCUGCCUGCCUUAUGCCUUCAAUUGGCAAGGAUGAAAAGCCAACAAACUUUGGUUUUCUUGGUCAAGAAACCAAGACUGUCACAACACCCAUCAGAUAAUUCAUUCAUCAUUCACACCGAGUCCACUUUCUACCACACCUUUAACUAUAACCUCUGUACAUUAGAACAUUACACACACCUUCAGAUGUUUUCCUCUAGUUUUUACAUGACUGUUAGAGCCAGGAGAUGUCAGGGAUUGAGUAAAAUGUGGUGAAACUUACUUAACAAGGUUCUUGCUUAGCAACCAAAUUUUGGGCUCAAUUGUGGUCAUAAGUCAAGGAUUAUUUUUGCCUUUCUCUGCAUGGAAGCCUUGUCCUAGUAAACUCCUUCUGCUUUCUGGCAAUUUUCCUCUCUGCUAGAGGCACCAAAAUAUUCCGGAUGAUAUAAGGUUUCCUGCUGGAGCAGGGAUUUGGACUAGAUUACCUCCGAGAUCCCUUCCAGCCCUAGUUUGCUGUGCUGUUUUAAAGUGUCUUCUGAAGCCACAUCUAAUGCCAGGGUUUGUGAUCCUUCCUUCCUCUUCUCUCCCUCCCUCCCUCCCCCCCCUCUCCCUUUCUCUUUCUUUCUGUUACAUAUUAACAGCCAGUAUGGUAGUUUCCACCAAGAUCCUGUGAUCCAGCAGGAAAAUACUGAAUGGCGAUGCUGCUGUCAAACAGAGUGGCUCUGGAUUUUACAUAGUUCAUUCUAAUAAAGAGCUGUUGUUUGCUGCUAUGCCGGAGUCUGCCUCAUCCAUUCACCCGAUCUAACACUGGCGACGAAGGUGGGAUUGGAAGGCAACUAGGCACCAAAAAGAGCUGACAAGACAAUCAAGCAAAACAAUGCAGCUGGAACGAAUGCGGCAUCGAGUGGCCAUCUUUAAGCAGCAAAUUCAAAUCUGCCUUGACUGAACAAGCCUCUAUUCUUGACUUGUCAUCUGGGACAACUGAGAAUGUAUCUACAUCCUUCUUUAUAUGACAACUUGCUAUAUGAUAUAGCUGAAGGCUGAUACCAUAUCUUCUCCUUAGUCUUUUCUGUAGGUUAUAGUUAUUCUUUAAUUACUCCUUAGUUUCCUGCUUUUUCAAAUGUCGUCUGAACCCAUUCUACAGUAAUAUUUUCAUGUCCUUUACAGAAUUUUGCCAGGUAGGCCAGAUAAAGACAGAAUAGAUUGGAACAAUUAUUUCCAGUGAUCUGGCCUGUACCAUUAAGCCAUUGUUUUCUGUUAUCUGGUUCCUGGUUAUUUUGGAAAUAAUUAGGAUGAGGUCCUCUGAAAAUGGCAUGCUAAAUAGGGGACCAAUCUUUUUCUCUUGCCAACAAAUAGUUGAUCCUUGGUGGUAUGUUCCCCAAAUUUGAACAGGAAUGGCUUGUUGAAGAAGGCUUGAAAGGGGCAUGGAUUUUAAAGACAGAGAUGAUAGAAUUAGAAUUGAUGACAAACAACCUGGACUUUCUUAAGAAAAUGAAUGGAGAUUGGGGAAAUGACUUAUAUCUAUCUGGAAAUAAAUUGUGAAGAGACACUGCAUUUUGACCUGUAAGAGGCGGUUUUUUUUUUUUUUUUUGAACAAGAAAUACUGUAGAGAUAUCUACCAGAGAUUUAUUAUUUUGGGGAAUGAGAUCCAAUUCUUGUGGAAGAUCCCAGUUAAAAUUUUAAGGAAAAGCCUUAUCAUUAAGAAUAAAUUGAGGAUAUUUGAUCCUGGACAAACAAGAGACAAUGAUUCUGGUAGUUUAUGGUAGAUUAGAAGCUGUUGCAGACUUUCUGCGAGUGAAAUACUAUAAUAGAUUGUUAACAGAGGGCUUUGAAGUUUAACUUUGUUGUUGGCUUUACCUACUAACUAUACCUUUUUUAUAUAGUAGAUAGAUGUCAGGUUAAAUUGGUUGGGUAAACCAAGUUGUAGGAGGUAAUAAACUGUAGGCUUCUUUUGUCAUAGCAGAAAGCUCUGACAAAACGUGAUCCACUGGAGAAGGAAAUGGCAACCUACUCCAGUAUCUUUACCAUGAAAAC